rnacentral:lncRNA from 1 species
CAAAUAAUGUAAAAAUCAAAUUUAGAAUGAUAUCAAUUGUUUAGAUCGGAAUUCAAAAAUAUAAAAAAACGGGAAUUUUGAUCGAAAUUCUGAAAUAUGGAGUGUCAUGGAAGGGAUUGCACACCAAAUUCUGACUAUUCCAGGUUUCUUUCCCUCUGUUUGCACGCGCUGCCAAUGCGCGUGGAUGAGAAUGAUGGCGUCGGGUGGGAUUUUGGUUUAUGCCGACGAAUCUGUAACGCACUUCAGCUAAAAACUUUUGAGUAAUGCUAUUUGAAUGUCAAACUCUCCUCCACCACUCCUGCCGUCAAAUAUCAUAUUGUGAGGGUGGUAAAUCGCAGUUUAUACCUCCAAGGGUAGAGGGUGAAAGGCUGCUUGUGCAUUUGUACUUACCCAAGAGCCAAAUUCAUAUUUCAGGAUUCGAACUCUUGACGCAACAAUUUCAAGCAAAGUUGGAUUUCUCCACCCUCCCCUUUUACAAAUAGUAAUGCUAUUUGAAUUUUGCUACACAUAGAUCAAGAUUUGCGCUUUUGUAUAUACUCUCUUCACACGAGGGAAGGUGACAUGAUUUUUUUAGAAUUUUACUAUGGGCCCAUUUGGGAGCGAUUUUUUCAACCAAAAAAUUGAUUUUUUGAUCGUUAUUUCAUUAUUUCAUCCGUUAUAUUUGACUUUUUCUCUCAUAGGUGGAUCCCACUUUUCUCAUAACGAUCAAAAAAUCAAUUUUUAAAAUCACUCCCACACAGACUUUAUUUGUAACCUAAUUUUUGACACUUACAUUAUAGUCAAACAUCAAAUGGACGAAAAAAUUACUUGAAAUUUAAACUAUCCAAUAGGAUAAUGCUAUAUGACAAAAUGUAAAUUAAAAUAUACAUCAUAGUAUAUAUGUAGCAAGAUUAUUUUUUUAUUGUUGUGGGUCCCCCUCCUCAUAGAAGGGAAGUAUACAUCGAAGUGUCAACUCCUGUAUACAAAUAGCAAUGCUAUUUGGCCCUUGUUUGAGUCACGUUAAUUUCAUAAGAGUGCAUUUUUAAAUAGUGUACAUAUAAAAAUUGUACGAUUAUAAAAUAUGAAAAAUUUUGAAUUUAUGUUUGAUAUUAUUUUAUUAAAGAAUAUGCUGUUAAAAUAAUUUCAAAUCGCUAUUUAAGAAUAUAUUUUUCUUAAAACUUGUGGAUCAAACAGGGUCUUAGUCCCAUCGGCCUAGGUAACGCUAAUGUGGUAUUCAUUGAUAGAUAAAAUUAAAUAACUCAUUUCAUUUUACAUUUCAUUUAACCUAUCAUUCAAUACCAACUAAAUUGGUAUUACAAUAAAAAAUGGAGCUACAUAACAUUACUCAAAACUUUCGUGGAGUGCAUAAGGUAGUCUGUUUGUUUUAGUCUUUGUUUGAAAUAUGAUUAUAAUUUGUUUAUAAUUGAUUAAAUCACUUUUUAUUUACUUAUUUCAUGAUAUUUAGAAAUACUUACUUAUAUAUGAAUUUCAUUUUAUCUAUUUAAAUUAAACUGAUUCUAAAACUCCCUAAACAUGUUCUAAUUAUGAGGAAAUUUAAUCAAGAUCAAAUUGAGAAGGAAAUGAAGAUUUUUCACUUUUUACAAGAGCUGGGGCGAGUUUUUGGCUGAGGACCAUUUUUCUUUUACGUCCAAAUUUUUCGACGUAAUUUUAACUGAAGGCUUGUUUUGAAGAAUUUUGUUUAAUUAUUUUUAAUCAUAAUUUUAUAUGAUUCGUAAUUUUAUUUAUUUUUUACUUUUUAAUCACACAUUAAAAAAAUCACUUUCAGUUGGAAGCAACGUUAAAAUGGAUUUUAUUUUGAUUUGAAUAGUAAAGACUAUCGGUAUUCAUCAUAUGAAAGAAAUAAAAAUGCCAGCCCAUUCUUUGUUAUUAUCAAGCCCAUCAGAAAGUGGUGCUCUAUGGGAGUGUUCUUCAAUCUGGCUCCAUGAGAAAAAGUCUUUCCGCUGCAAAUUUGGAUUACAUGGAUUACUAGGAUUCUUUGGGCAUGGACCAGAUUUGGGCAGAGGAGAUAGUUGAGCCCACCUUCCAAGAAGAUUUGGGAGUUUUGGUUUUAAAAAAAGGGGAAUUUUGAUCGAAAUUCUGAAAUAUGGAGUGUCAUGGAAGGGAUUGCACACCAAAUUCUGACUAUUCCAGGUUUCUUUGCCUCUGUUUGCACGCGCUGCCAAUGCGCGUGGAUGAGAAUGAUGGCGUCGGGUGGGGUUUUGGUUUAUGCCGACGAAUCUGUAACGCACUUCAGCUAAAAACUUUUGAGUAAUGCUAUUUGAAUGUCAAACUCUCCUCCACCACUCCUGCCCUCAAAUAUGGUGAGGGUGGUAAAUCGCAG